UCGGCCAUGUGUAGCAUUUGCCACUUAAACAACAGAAGUAUUCUCUUUCCAACCAUUAUUGUUUGCUUGAGCUUUGAGUUCCAAAGGCAGAUAUCUUAUGCCGUGCUAAGACGUGACAUAGUUCUGAUGAUGCCUUUUUGUCUGUAAUGGGUCUUUGACCAAUAUAUGAGGCUGCAUAUAACCUCGAUGCUAUAAAUGGAGAACAUUUCAGGUUUUAAGCCAAUUUACCGUCCAUGCCA
rnacentral:lncRNA from 1 species